rnacentral:tRNA from 1 species
UUUUUAUUAGUAUAAAUUAAAGUAUUUUUGUUUUCCAAACAAAGGGAUUAAUAUUAAAAUUAAAUAAAUAC